UACGUAGGGGGCAAGCGUUGUCCGGAUUUAUUGGGCGUAAAGAGCUCGUAGGCGGUCUGUCGCGUCGAAUGUGAAAACCCGGGGCUCAACCCCGGGCCUGCAUUCGAUACGGGCAGACUAGAGUUCGGUAGGGGAGUCUGGAAUUCCUGGUGUAGCGGUGAAAUGCGCAGAUAUCAGGAGGAACACCGGUGGCGAAGGCGGGACUCUGGGCCGAUACUGACGCUGAGGAGCGAAAGCGUGGGGAGCGAACAGG
rnacentral:rRNA from 1 species